AAAUUUGUGUUAAUAAUAAAAUUGAAAAAAUUACAAAAAAAAUCAUUUUUAUUUCAUUGAAUCUUAGAGAAUAAGUUAAAACUUUUAGGAAAAACAAUCAAUGAGGAAUGGUUAAAUAUGAUCACUAAAUCAAAUUAAAUAUAUUUUAUUGAUUAGUUUGAAAACGUAAUUUUUAAAUAUAAAUAAAAGUCUUCUAUACACACAAAAAAAAAACAAGAUAAAAUAAAAAAAUAUCAUCAAAAUCAU
rnacentral:lncRNA from 1 species